CCUACGGGAGGCAGCAGUGAGGAAUAUUGGUCAAUGGACGAGAGUCUGAACCAGCCAAGUAGCGUGAAGGAUGACUGCCCUAUGGGUUGUAAACUUCUUUUAUAUGGGAAUAAAAUGUUCCACGUGUGGGAUUUUGUAUGUACCCUAUGAAUAAGGAUCGGCUAACUCCGUGCCAGCAGCCGCGGUAAUACGGAGGAUCCGAGCGUUAUCCGGAUUUAUUGGGUUUAAAGGGAGCGUAGGUGGAUUGUUAAGUCAGUUGUGAAAGUUUGCGGCUCAACCGUAAAAUUGCAGUUGAAACUGGCAGUCUUGAGUACAGGAGAAGUGGGCGGAAUUCGUGGUGUAGCGGUGAAAUGCUUAGAUAUCACGAAGAACUCCGAUUGCGAAGGCAGUUCACUGGACUGCAACUGACACUGAGGCUCGAAAGUGUGGGUAUCAAACAGGAUUAGAUACCCGUGUAGUC
rnacentral:rRNA from 1 species